rnacentral:rRNA from 1 species
GAUGAACGCUGGCGGCGUGCCUAAUACAUGCAAGUAGAACGCUGAAGGAGGAGCUUGCUCUUCUGGAUGAGUUGCGAACGGGUGAGUAACGCGUAGGUAACCUGCCUGGUAGCGGGGGAUAACUAUUGGAAACGAUAGCUAAUACCGCAUGACAACAGUUAUUGCAUGAUAACUGUUUAAAAGGGGCAACUGCUCCACUACCAGAUGGACCUGCGUUGUAUUAGCUAGUUGGUGAGGUAACGGCUCACCAAGGCGACGAUACAUAGCUGACCUGAGAGGGUGAUCGGCCACACUGGGACUGAGACACGGCCCAGACUCCUACGGGAGGCAGCAGUAGGGAAUCUUCGGCAAUAGACGGAAGUCUGACCGAGCAACGCCGCGUGAGUGAAGAAGGUUUUCGGAUCGUAAAGCUCUGUUGUAAGAGAAGAACGAGUGUGAGAGUGGAAAGUUCACACUGUGACGGUAUCUUACCAGAAAGGGACGGCUAACUACGUG